rnacentral:rRNA from 1 species
UACGAAGGGUGCAAGCGUUAAUCGGAAUUACUGGGCGUAAAGCGUGCGUAGGCGGUUUGUUAAGUCUGUUGUGAAAUCCCCGGGCUCAACCUGGGAAUGGCAAUGGAUACUGGCAAGCUAGAGUGUGAUAGAGGAUGGUGGAAUUCCCGGUGUAGCGGUGAAAUGCGUAGAGAUCGGGAGGAACAUCAGUGGCGAAGGCGGCCAUCUGGAUCAACACUGACGCUGAGGCACGAAAGCGUGGGGAGCAAACAG